rnacentral:tRNA from 2 species
GCGGGCGUAGCUCAGUUGGUAGAGCGUCAGCUUCCCAAGCUGAAUGUCGCCGGUUCGAGCCCGGUCGCCCGCU